CCAAAGGCUCUUUUCAGAGCCACCCACCUCUUCAAAUAGGAGAGCU
rfam:Mesocricetus auratus contig191463, whole genome shotgun sequence.